rnacentral:lncRNA from 1 species
AAUAGAUGAACAUCAUGCUCUAAGCCGUGUAUUAAGCUGUAUAUCUUUCAGAUAAUUUGGGGUCAUCUCCUGCGUACCACUGCUGUGUGCUGAUAUUUUUAACAUUCAACAGUAAACAAACAACCUGAUACCAAAAACUCACCUAUAUAUAAAGCAGGAAAAGAAGGUUAUAGUUGUAGUAACAUACGUCUAUGUUAUUAUAGUGCAUGACAUUGCAAGGCAUGCAAUUAUUAUAUACUACGAUAUUUCAUCACAUACACGGAUGAGUAGUAGCUGAAGUUAUCACACACAUUGACAACCAGUUCCAAGGACAUUCUUUAUUAUGAUCAUGCCUCCAGCUCCUUGAGGAAAUCUGCGUGGUCAACUAAAACCUGAGAAGCAGCAGGUCAAAAUUAGCCACAUAUUGCCUGUCUCUGAUUAUACAUUUACUCUCAUCAUAAUUUAAGAAGAUAGCAACCACAAAUAAUGGUAUAUUAUUCUCAUGAUAUCAAUCAAUAGGCAUUAGUAAUAGCGAUCUUUAAUGCUCUUACAUUCUCAACCAGAUAAUAAAGAAGCACUAUAUUUCUUUGUACAUCAUCACAUGAAUGGAACGCACCCUCAUUUGUGUUGCACCUCUUC